rnacentral:rRNA from 1 species
GACGAACGCUGGCGGCGUGCCUAACACAUGCAAGUCGAACGGGGUAGCCCCUUCGGGGACUACUUAGUGGCGAACGGGUGAGUAACGCGUGAGGAACCUGCCUCUCAGUGGGGGACAACAGUUGGAAACGACUGCUAAUACCGCAUAAUGUAGCGAGAUCGCAUGAUCAUGCUACCAAAGAUUUAUUGCUGAGAGAUGGCCUCGCGUCUGAUUAGCUAGUUGGUGAGGUAACGGCUCACCAAGGCGACGAUCAGUAGCCGGUCUGAGAGGAUGAACGGCCACAUUGGGACUGAGAUACGGCCCAGACUCCUACGGGAGGCAGCAGUGGGGAAUAUUGGGCAAUGGGGGAAACCCUGACCCAGCAACGCCGCGUGAAGGAAGAAGGCCUUCGGGUUGU